rnacentral:rRNA from 1 species
GAUGAACGCUGGCGGCGUGCCUAACACAUGCAAGUCGAACGGACAGACGAGGAGCUUGUUCCUCUGACGUUAGCGGCGGACGGGUGAGUAACACGUGGAUAAGCAACAUAUAUGACUGGGAUAACUUCGAGAAACCGGAGCUAAUACCAGAUAAAAUGAUCAACCGCAUGGUGCAACAGCGAAAGACGGUCUUGCUGUCACUGAUAGAUGGAUCCGCGCCGCAUUACCUAGUUGGUAAGGGAACGGCUUUCCACGGCAACGAUGCGUAGCCGACCUGAGAGAGUGAUCGGCCACACUGGAACUGAAACACGGUCCAGACUCCUACGGGAGGCAGCAGUAGGGACUCUUCCGAAAUGGGCGAAAGCCUGACGGAGCAACGCCGCGUGGGUGAAGAAGGCAUUCGGGUCGUAAGACUCUGUGAUUAGGGAAGAACAAAUGUGUAAGUAACUAUGCACGUCUUGACGGUACCUGAUCAGAAAGCAACGGCUAACUACGUG